UACGAAGGGGGCAAGCGUUGUUCGGAAUUACUGGGCGUAAAGGGCGCGUAGGCGGCCUGUUAAGUCGAACGUGAAAUCCCCGGGCUCAACCCGGGAACUGCGUCCGAUACUGGCAGGCUUGAAUCCGGGAGAGGGAUGCGGAAUUCCAGGUGUAGCGGUGAAAUGCGUAGAUAUCUGGAGGAACACCGGUGGCGAAGGCGGCAUCCUGGACCGGCAUUGACGCUGAGGCGCGAAAGCUAGGGGAGCGAACGGG
rnacentral:rRNA from 1 species